rnacentral:rRNA from 1 species
GAUGAACGCUAGCUACAGGCUUAACACAUGCAAGUCGAGGGGAAACGACAUCGAAAGCUUGCUUUUGAUGGGCGUCGACCGGCGCACGGGUGAGUAACGCGUAUCCAACCUGCCCACCACUUGGGGAUAACCUUGCGAAAGUAAGACUAAUACCCAAUGAUAUCCCACGAAGGCAUCCGAAUGGGAUUAAAGAUUUAUCGGCUAUGGAUGGGGAUGCGUCUGAUUAGGUUGUUGGCGGGGUAACGGCCCACCAAGCCUACGAUCAGUAGGGGUUCUGAGAGGAAGGUCCCCCACAUUGGAACUGAGACACGGUCCAAACUCCUACGGGAGGCAGCAGUGAGGAAUAUUGGUCAAUGGACGGAAGUCUGAACCAGCCAAGUAGCGUGCAGGAUGACGGCCCUAUGGGUUGUAAACUGCUUUUAUGUGGGAAUAAAGUGAGGGACGUGUCCCUUUUUGUAGGUACCACAUGAAUAAGGACCGGCUAAUUCCGUG